AUCUGACAGUGGAGAUAAUAAUCACAUCCUCUUCAUCACCUUGAAAUCCAUCAACAGUAGAAACUUUGAUAGAGAAUUGACUCUCUGCAUCUGUGCUAUAUGCCUUCCCAAGUUUUUUCUGAAUUUCAUGAACUUGAGCCUUGUAUGGUGAUAUGAUACCAACACUAACUUUCUCUUUUCUGGCUUUGGUUUCUGUAUAGAAUAGAAAUUAAUUGAAGAAAGACGGAAUUCCCCAUCUCAGAGAUGGUCCAAAGCAUACAGUCAAUAUAUGAUAACAACACC
rnacentral:lncRNA from 1 species